rnacentral:rRNA from 1 species
UGUGAGUUUGAUCCUGGCUCAGGACGAACUCUGGCGGCAUGCCUAAUACAUGCAAGUCGAACGAGCUUCCGUUGAAUGACGUGCUUGCACUGAUUUYAACAAUGAAGCGAGUGGCGAACUGGUGAGUAACACGUGGGAAAUCUGCCCAGAAGCAGGGGAUAACACUUGGAAACAGGUGCUAAUACCGUAUAACAACAAAAUCCGCAUGGAUUUUGUUUGAAAGGUGGCUUCGGCUAUCACUUCUGGAUGAUCCCGCGGCGUAUUAGUUAGUUGGUGAGGUAAAGGCCCACCAAGACGAUGAUACGUAGCCGACCUGAGAGGGUAAUCGGCCACAUUGGGACUGAGACACGGCCCAAACUCCUACGGGAGGCAGCAGUAGGGAAUCUUCCACAAUGGACGAAAGUCUGAUGGAGCAAUGCCGCGUGAGUGAAGAAGGGUUUCGGCUCGUUUUACUCUGUUGUUAAAGAAGAACACCUUUGAGAGUAACUGUUCAAGGGUUGACGGUAUAACCAAGAAAGGAAC